rnacentral:rRNA from 1 species
AAGGUUAAGCCUCACGGUUCAUUAGUACCGGUUAGCUCAACGCAUCGCUGCGCUUACACACCCGGCCUAUCAACGUCGUCGUCUUCAACGUUCCUUCAGGACUCUCAAGGAGUCAGGGAGAACUCAUCUCGGGGCAAGUUUCGUGCUUAGAUGCUUUCAGCACUUAUCUCUUCCGCAUUUAGCUACCGGGCAGUGCCAUUGGCAUGACAACCCGAACACCAGUGAUGCGUCCACUCCGGUCCUCUCGUACUAGGAGCAGCCCCCCUCAGUUCUCCAGCGCCCACGGCAGAUAGGGACCGAACUGUCUCACGACGUUCUAAACCCAGCUCGCGUACCACUUUAAAUGGCGAACAGCCAUACCCUUGGGACCUACUUCAGCCCCAGGAUGUGAUGAGCCGACAUCGAGGUGCCAAACACCGCCGUCGAUAUGAACUCUUGGGCGGUAUCAGCCUGUUAUCCCCGGAGUACCUUUUAUCCGUUGAGCGAUGGCCCUUCCAUUCAGAACCACCGGAUCACUAUGACCUGCUUUCGCACCUGCUCGCGCCGUCACGCUCGCAGUCAAGCUGGCUUAUGCCAUUGCACUAACCUCCUGAUGUCCGACCAGGAUUAGCCAACCUUCGUGCUCCUCCGUUACUCUUUAGGAGGAGACCGCCCCAGUCAAACUACCCACCAGACACUGUCCGCAACCCGGAUUACGGGUCAACGUUAGAACAUCAAACAUUAAAGGGUGGUAUUUCAAGGUCGGCUCCAUGCAGACUGGCGUCCACACUUCAAAGCCUCCCACCUAUCCUACACAUCAAGGCUCAAUGUUCAGUGUCAAGCUAUAGUAAAGGUUCACGGGGUCUUUCCGUCUUGCCGCGGGUACACUGCAUCUUCACAGCGAGUUCAAUUUCACUGAGUCUCGGGUGGAGACAGCCUGGCCAUCAUUACGCCAUUCGUGCAGGUCGGAACUUACCCGACAAGGAAUUUCGCUACCUUAGGACCGUUAUAGUUACGGCCGCCGUUUACCGGGGCUUCGAUCAAGAGCUUCGCUUGCGCUAACCCCAUCAAUUAACCUUCCGGCACCGGGCAGGCGUCACACCGUAUACGUCCACUUUCGUGUUUGCACAGUGCUGUGUUUUUAAUAAACAGUUGCAGCCAGCUGGUAUCUUCGACUGAUUUCAGCUCCAUCCGCGAGGGACUUCACCUACAUAUCAGCGUGCCUUCUCCCGAAGUUACGGCACCAUUUUGCCUAGUUCCUUCACCCGAGUUCUCUCAAGCGCCUUGGUAUUCUCUACCUGACCACCUGUGUCGGUUUGGGGUACGAUUUGAUGUUACCUGAUGCUUAGAGGCUUUUCCUGGAAGCAGGGCAUUUGUUGCUUCAGCACCGUAGUGCCUCGUCAUCACGCCUCAGCCUUGAUUUUCCGGAUUUGCCUGGAAAACCAGCCUACACGCUUAAACCGGGACAACCGUCGCCCGGCCAACAUAGCCUUCUCCGUCCCCCCUUCGCAGUAACACCAAGUACAGGAAUAUUAACCUGUUUCCCAUCGACUACGCCUUUCGGCCUCGCCUUAGGGGUCGACUCACCCUGCCCCGAUUAACGUUGGACAGGAACCCUUGGUCUUCCGGCGAGCGGGCUUUUCACCCGCUUUAUCGUUACUUAUGUCAGCAUUCGCACUUCUGAUACCUCCAGCAUGCCUCACAGCACACCUUCACAGGCUUACAGAACGCUCCCCUACCCAACAACGCAUAAGCGUCGCUGCCGCAGCUUCGGUGCAUGGUUUAGCCCCGUUACAUCUUCCGCGCAGGCCGACUCGACCAGUGAGCUAUUACGCUUUCUUUAAAUGAUGGCUGCUUCUAAGCCAACAUCCUGGCUGUCUGGGCCUUCCCACAUCGUUUCCCACUUAACCAUGACUUUGGGACCUUAGCUGGCGGUCUGGGUUGUUUCCCUCUUCACGACGGACGUUAGCACCCGCCGUGUGUCUCCCGUGAUAACAUUCUCCGGUAUUCGCAGUUUGCAUCGGGUUGGUAAGUCGGGAUGACCCCCUUGCCGAAACAGUGCUCUACCCCCGGAGAUGAAUUCACGAGGCGCUACCUAAAUAGCUUUCGGGGAGAACCAGCUAUCUCCCGGUUUGAUUGGCCUUUCACCCCCAGCCACAAGUCAUCCGCUAAUUUUUCAACAUUAGUCGGUUCGGUCCUCCAGUUAGUGUUACCCAACCUUCAACCUGCCCAUGGCUAGAUCACCGGGUUUCGGGUCUAUACCCUGCAACUUAACGCCCAGUUAAGACUCGGUUUCCCUUCGGCUCCCCUAUUCGGUUAACCUUGCUACAGAAUAUAAGUCGCUGACCCAUUAUCAAAAGGUACGCAGUCACACAGAUUGCUCUGUGCUCCCACUGCUUGUACGUACACGGUUUCAGGUUCUUUUUCACUCCCCUCGCCGGGGUUCUUUUCGCCUUUCCCUCACGGUACUGGUUCACUAUCGGUCAGUCAGGAGUAUUUAGCCUUGGAGGAUGGUCCCCCCAUAUUCAGACAGGAUACCACGUGUCCCGCCCUACUCAUCGAGCUCACAGCAUGUGCAUUUUUGUGUACGGGGCUGUCACCCUGUAUCGCGCGCCUUUCCAGACGCUUCCACUAACACACAUACUGAUUCAGGCUCUGGGCUGCUCCCCGUUCGCUCGCCGCUACUGGGGGAAUCUCGGUUGAUUUCUUUUCCUCGGGGUACUUAGAUGUUUCAGUUCCCCCGGUUCGCCUCAUUAACCUAUGGAUUCAGUUAAUGAUAGUGUGACGAAUCACACUGGGUUUCCCCAUUCGGAAAUCGCCGGUUAUAACGGUUCAUAUCACCUUACCGACGCUUAUCGCAGAUUAGCACGUCCUUCAUCGCCUCUGACUGCCAGGGCAUCCACCGUGUACGCUUAGUCGCUUAA